AUUGAACGCUGGCGGCAGGCCUAACACAUGCAAGUCGAACGGUAGCAGAACUAGCUUGCUAGUUGCUGACGAGUGGCGAACGGGUGAGUAACGCGUGGGAAUCUACCUGGUAGUGGGGGAUAACAGUCGGAAACGACUGCUAAUACCGCAUACGUCCUAAGGCAGAAAGCGGGGGAUCUUCGGACCCCGUGCUAUCAGAUGAGCCCGCGUCGGAUUAGCUCGUUGGUGGGGUAAGGGCCUACCAAGGCGACGAUCCGUAGCUGGUCUGAGAGGAUGAUCAGCCACACUGGAACUGAGACACGGUCCAGACUCCUACGGGAGGCAGCAGUGGGGAAUAUUGGACAAUGGGCGCAAGCCUGAUCCAGCCAUGCCGCGUGUGUGAAGAAGGCCCUAGGGUUGUAAAGCACUUUCAGCAGGGAGGAAAGGAUGUACGUUAAUACCGUGCAUCUGUGACGUUACCUGCAGAAGAAGCACCGGCUAACUCCGUGCCAGCCGCCGCAGUAA
rnacentral:rRNA from 1 species